CAACUCUGGUGUCUCCUCAUUUGAGGAUAAAUCUUUCUCCUUUUACUAAAGAUUUCCGUGAGGAGGUACAAUACAAUGAGUCUUAUCUCAUUUUCUCCUACUUCGUCUGCGCACGGAGU
rfam:Schistosoma mansoni strain Puerto Rico chromosome 6, complete genome